rnacentral:rRNA from 1 species
AUGGCCGCCACCAUGAAGCUGUCACUCACCUUCGUCCUCCUCCUCUCCGCGCUGGUGGUGUUCGGGGACGCGCAGGCGACCUGCGACAACAUCCGGUGCAUCCAGGGAGGGUACAUCACCUGCAAGAACUACCCCGGCCAGAAGCUCGACGGGUGCGCCUGCGUGUGCGCGCCCGAGGACGGCAAGGGCUGCGUGCUCCACCUCGACAGCGGCUCCACCAACAAAUGCACCAAGUACUGA